rnacentral:ncRNA from 1 species
AAAUGAUGCCGCGCACGUACACUGUUACUAUUUUUAGAAUGCAGAAGGGAAAUUACCCAAAUUAAAAUUAAGGGGCUAUUGCUAAUUUUAGUAAUAAUUUUGAAUUAUAAUUUUUUUAUUCUUGUACGAAGUCGAUGAAUCCUUUAAUGAGGAUUAGUUGGAGGGCAAGCCUGAUGCCAGCAGCCGCAGUAAUUCGAACUCCAAAAGCGUAUAUUAAAGCUGUCGUGGUUAAAAUGUUGCUAUCUGGAUCUUAAUUCCAGACGGGUGGUCUGGCUAUGGGUAGUUCCUGCCUGGUCUGAACCGGCAGCCGAUUUCCUUUGAUGACCUUCACCUGUUGUCUGGGGUUUCAAGUUUACUUUCGGCAAGUUUGAAAAAAUUAGAAUACUCAAAGCAAGAGCAAAGCCUGAAAAAUGGCGCAUGGAAUAGCACCUGGGUUCUAUUUUGCUGGUUUUCGGAAUACGGGGUAAGGAUUAGAGGGACUAACGGGGCAUUCGUAUUGCGAUGCUCGGCGAAAGAUGAAAUUCUUGAUCCAGCAAGAACUACUGCGAAAGCAUUUGCCAGUAAUGACGUAUUAAUUAAGAACAUUCCAUAUUAAUA